CCAGAGGAUCGGGCGACCGCGGGUGGCUUUCGGGCCGCGCGAGGAAAGUCCGGGCUCCACGAAACGACGGUGCCGGGUAACGCCCGGCGGGGGCGACCCCAGGGACAGUGCCACAGAGAGUAGACGGCGACCGCUUCGGCGACGCCCAUGUGAAAGGGUGCGGUAAAAGCGCACCGCGCGACCGGUAACGGAAGCGGCAUGGUAAACCCCACCGGGAGCAAGACCGAAUAGGGAUGGCAUGGAUCGCAAGGUCCGGGGCGUGUUUCCGCCUGCCGUCCGGGUUGGUUGCUGGAGGCGGCGCGCAAGCGUCGUCGUAGAGGAAUGGUCGCCCAUCCCCUUUGUGGGAGGACAGAACCCGGCUUACAGAUCCUCUGGCGUU
rnacentral:RNase_P_RNA from 2 species